UACGGAAGGUGCGAGCGUUAAUCGGAAUUACUGGGCGUAAAGCGCACGUAGGUGGUUUUAUAAGUCGGAUGUGAAAGCCCCGGGCUUAACCUGGGAAUUGCAUCUGAUACUGUCUGACUAGAGUAUGCUAGAGGGAAGUGGAAUUCCUGGUGUAGCAGUGAAAUGCGUAGAUAUCAGGAGGAAUACCGAUGGCGAAGGCAGGUCUCUGGGCUGACACUGACGCUCAUGCACGAAAGCGUGGGGAGCAAACAGG
rnacentral:rRNA from 1 species